rnacentral:rRNA from 1 species
GAUGAACGCUGGCGGCGUGCCUAAUACAUGCAAGUCGAGCGAACGGACGAGAAGCUUGCUUCUCUGAUGUUAGCGGCGGACGGGUGAGUAACACGUGGAUAACCUACCUAUAAGACUGGGAUAACUUCGGGAAACCGGAGCUAAUACCGGAUAAUAUUUUGAACCGCAUGGUUCAAAAGUGAAAGACGGUCUUGCUGUCACUUAUAGAUGGAUCCGCGCUGCAUUAGCUAGUUGGUAAGGUAACGGCUUACCAAGGCAACGAUGCAUAGCCGACCUGAGAGGGUGAUCGGCCACACUGGAACUGAGACACGGUCCAGACUCCUACGGGAGGCAGCAGUAGGGAAUCUUCCGCAAUGGGCGAAAGCCUGACGGAGCAACGCCGCGUGAGUGAUGAAGGUCUUCGGAUCGUANAACUCUGUUAUUAGGGAAGAACAUAUGUGUAAGUAACUGUGCACAUCUUGACGGUACCUAAUCAGAAAGCCACGGCUAACUACGUGCCAGCAGCCGCGGUAAUACGUAGGUGGCAAGCGUUAUCCCGAAAUUAUGGGCGUAAAGCGCGCGUAGCGGUUUUUUAAAUCUGAUGUGAAAGCCCGCGGCUCAACCGUGGAGGGUCAUUGGAAACUGGAAAACUUGAGUGCAGAAGAGGAAAGUGGAAUUCCAUGUGUAGCGGUGAAAUGCGCAGAGAUAUGGAGGAACACCAGUGGCGAAGGCGACUUUCUGGUCUGUAACUGACGCUGAUGUGCGAAAGCGUGGGGAUCAAACAGGAUUAGAUACCCUGGUAGUCCACGCCGUAAACGAUGAGUGCUAAGUGUUAGGGGGUUUCCGCCCCUUAGUGCUGCAGCUAACGCAUUAAGCACUCCGCCUGGGGAGUACGACCGCAAGGUUGAAACUCAAAGGAAUUGACGGGGACCCGCACAAGCGGUGGAGCAUGUGGUUUAAUUCGAAGCAACGCGAAGAACCUUACCAAAUCUUGACAUCCUUUGACAACUCUAGAGAUAGAGCUUUCCCCUUCGGGGGACAAAGUGACAGGUGGUGCAUGGUUGUCGUCAGCUCGUGUCGUGAGAUGUUGGGUUAAGUCCCGCAACGAGCGCAACCCUUAAGCUUAGUUGCCAUCAUUAAGUUGGGCACUCUAAGUUGACUGCCGGUGACAAACCGGAGGAAGGUGGGGAUGACGUCAAAUCAUCAUGCCCCUUAUGAUUUGGGCUACACACGUGCUACAAUGGACAAUACAAAGGGCAGCGAAACCGUGAGGUCAAGCAAAUCCCAUAAAGUUGUUCUCAGUUCGGAUUGUAGUCUGCAACUCGACUACAUGAAGCUGGAAUCGCUAGUAAUCGUAGAUCAGCAUGCUACGGUGAAUACGUUCCCGGGUCU